GAGGGUAUAGCUUAGUGGUAGAGUGCGUGCCUCGCAGGCACAAGGCCCUAGGUUUCAUCCCCAGCACCUCCA
rnacentral:tRNA from 1 species